GGAGAUAUUUAUUUUUGUUUUGUUUUGCCUAUGUAAAAUAAUUUUGUUUUUGUUUUGUUAUUUGUAGUUGCAAUCUAAGCUGGCCAAUAGAUGUAUGACAACUCCUCUCGGUAAAUGCUUCUGAUAUGCUUUUUUUUUUUUUUUUUUAAUUUAUAAACUUAGGUCAGAUAAAAAUCCGUUUAGUAACGUAUAUGGCUUAUCCAUUCGAUAACGAGCAUUGUAUUUUGUUUUAUGCUGAUCAUUUAUGUUAUUAUCAUAUAAAAUUGAUAUGCGAUUAAGACUAACCAAUAUGCACGUGUCGAUAUAUGAAGGGAAAAGUGUAACAUUUAAU
rnacentral:lncRNA from 1 species